AUUGGAAGCUGGCGGAAUGCUUUACACAUGCAAGUCGAACGGUAGAGGGGGCAACCCCUUGAGAGUGGCGAACGGGUGAGUAAUAUAUCGGAACGUGCCCAGUCGUGGGGGAUAACGUAGCGAAAGUUACGCUAAUACCGCAUACGAUCUAAGGAUGAAAGCGGGGGAUCGCAAGACCUCGCGCGACUGGAGCGGCCGAUAUCAGAUUAGGUAGUUGGUAGGGUAAAGGCCUACCAAGCCAACGAUCUGUAGCUGGUCUGAGAGGACGACCAGCCACACUGGAACUGAGACACGGUCCAGACUCCUACGGGAGGCAGCAGUGGGGAAUUUUGGACAAUGGGCGAAAGCCUGAUCCAGCCAUUCCGCGUGCAGGAUGAAGGCCCUCGGGUUGUAAACUGCUUUUGUACAGAACGAAAAGGUUUCUAUUAAUACUAGGAGCUCAUGACGGUACUGUAAGAAUAAGCACCGGCUAACUACGUGCCAGCAGCCGCGGUAAUACGUAGGGUGCAAGCGUUAAUCGGAAUUACUGGGCGUAAAGCGUGCGCAGGCGGUUAUAUAAGUCAGAUGUGAAAUCCCCGGGCUCAACCUGGGAACUGCAUUUGAGACUGUAUAGCUAGAGUACGGUAGAGGGGGAUGGAAUUCCGCGUGUAGCAGUGAAAUGCGUAGAUAUGCGGAGGAACACCGAUGGCGAAGGCAAUCCCCUGGACCUGUAC
rnacentral:rRNA from 1 species